rfam:Arabis alpina cultivar Pajares chromosome 6, whole genome shotgun sequence.
AUCCCAUGGUGAGGACAACUUCUUGUGUAUCCCUUGAGACGUUCCCAAGCUUCACUGAGGGAUUCCUGAUUGUCCUGUCUAGAGGAGUUGAUAUCACUUUUGUACAU